GUCCACGCCCUAAACGAUGUAAACUCGACAUCAGCGAUACACAGUUGGUGUCCAAGGGAAACCGUUAAGUUUACCACCUGGGAAGUACGACCGCAAGGUUGAAACUCAAAGGAAUUGGCGGGGGUCCGCACAAGCGGUGGAGCAUGUGGUUUAAUUCGAUUAUACGCGAGGAACCUUACCUAGGCUAGAAUGUAGUUUGACCGAUCCUGAAAGGGGUCUUUGUAGCAAUACACAGAUUACAAGGUGCUGCAUGGUUGUCGU
rnacentral:rRNA from 1 species